rnacentral:rRNA from 1 species
AGCGAAACGGGAAGAGCCCAAACCAACAAGCUUGCUUGUUGGGGUUGUAGGACACUCUAUACGGAGUUACAAAGGACGACAUUAGACGAAUCAUCUGGAAAGAUGAAUCAAAGAAGGUAAUAAUCCUGUAGUCGAAAAUGUUGUCUCUCUUGAGUGGAUCCUGAGUACGACGGAGCACGUGAAAUUCCGUCGGAAUCUGGGAGGACCAUCUCCUAAGGCUAAAUACUCUCUAGUGACCGAUAGUGAACCAGUACCGUGAGGGAAAGGUGAAAAGCACCACGGAAGGGGAGUGAAAU